UUGUGAAAUGAUAGUUGUUUCCAUUCGUUCCUGGAGCUUUAUUGUCCACAGUCGAUGACAGCUCCUGCGCUGAGGCGUGUGCACAGGUGAGUACAGGAGAUAAUUGGAAACACCUGGAAGGCUUAAAGAGGCAGCAGGCGGAGUUUUCAACCCACUCUUGUGCUGCAACAAGACUUUGAUUUUGACCUUAUGGAGUCCUGACAGCACAGACUUUUACAAUACAUGUGUCCUGCAGGAUCUCAGUGCUUUAGCAGUGCUUUUCCCUCAGAUUUUUGACAUUUUUUGAGUGAAGCUGUGACCGUUACAACCACCGCCAACAUCUGCGUCACCUCAAAGUGAAAGCUUUGAAGGGAGCAGCGGAACCUGCGAGGUCAGGAACCUCAUGAGAUCGAUGUAGAAGCUUGUCGUUUCCGGACUGGAGAAUGACGGACCGGAUCCAGACAGCACUUUGAGCCAUCCAGGAGGCUCAGAGGACCUCUGGCGACGUGGGACACGAGGACGAGGUGUUCGUAAAAUGGAGUCGGAGCGUACCAUUCCCGGACGGGACAGGGAGUAGUUCAUUGGGACUGAUACUCAAGAUUGACCCCCUCACGGUGUCCAAUCAAAUGGACUCUUUUUAUGUCAGAUGCUCGCCUCCCAUGUAGACGAAGGUCAUUUGGAGAAUCAUUUAAGAAGCAACUCAGCUAUGAAAACUGACACUUGAGAACGGAUUUCGAAGCAGCCCAAAGGAGGCCUGAACUGCGGCUGCUUACCCAGCAUCCUGUGCUUCAUGGGCCCUGAUGAUUGACAGCAGGUUGUUGGUUUGUAGGAACUCGCAUACUGCAGGAUAACU